ACCUUUCGAUAAACUACACACGUAGAAAGAUGUGUAUCAGGACCUCUGGACGCGGGUUCAAAUCCCGCCGUCUCCAUAU
rnacentral:tmRNA from 1 species